GGAGGGUGCAAGCGUUAUCCGGAUUCACUGGGUUUAAAGGGUGCGUAGGUGGGUUGGUAAGUCAGUGGUGAAAUCCCCGAGCUUAACUUGGGAACUGCCAUUGAUACUAUCAGUCUUGAAUACCGUGGAGGUUAGCGGAAUAUGUCAUGUAGCGGUGAAAUGCUUAGAUAUGACAUAGAACACCAAUUGCGAAGGCAGCUGGCUACACGAAUAUUGACACUGAGGCACGAAAGCGUGGGGAUCAAACAGGAUUAGAUACCCUGGUAGUCCACGCCCUAAACUAUGGAUACUCGACAUCAGCGAUACACUGUUGGUGUCUGAGCGAAAGCAUUAAGUAUCCCACCUGGGAAGUACGAUCGCAAGAUUGAA
rnacentral:rRNA from 1 species